GCCGGUAUAGCUCAGCAGGUAGAGCAGCUGAUUUGUAAUCAGAAGGUCCCGGGUUCGAUUCCUGGUGCCGGCACCA
rnacentral:tRNA from 1 species